CCCUUCUCCUUCUCCUUCUCCUUCUCCUUCUCCUUCUCCUUCUCCCU
rnacentral:sRNA from 1 species